CAGACACACCCAGUGCCAGUGACUCAGGGAGGAGCCGAGACCUGAACUUGAGCGACGUGGACGGAACACUUCGGGACUCCUGUGCCCUAAUUCUCACUCUCCUUCAGCUAUGUGUCUCCUUGAUUCAGUAUUUCACAAGAGUAAGCAUCCCAUUUCACAAAAGAAGCAAGGCUAGAACCCGGGAACCGAGGGCGAAUGACAUUCUGGUGAAACAUUUCCAUGCUUGAUGGUACCAGACGUCAUACCUGGGCACAUGGAAGAUAAUAUCUAUAACUGGAUUUCCCCAAAGGAAAAUUCUUAAACAAAAUGAGCAAAUAUGCAAAAGAAAGGGAAGAAAACCCUGGAAACAAUGGCUGAAGGACAGCUCCCAAGAAGCAUAAAUGAUUAAAAAGAGUUUUACGGUGUUGAUUACCAGAGGAAUCUCCUUGAGAAAUGGAGCCAGAAACUAUUCUAUCCAUUGCAACCUCCCUUACUCCAGCAGUUCAGGGAAACAAGAGGCUGUCCGCUUCAUACAGACAUACCCACUAAGUCAGCUGUAAAGAGACCGUAUUCUCAGAGAAAGAUUCAAAACCUGAAAGGCAUUCUGCUUCUGCAGGACGCAACAGAACGUGACUUUCUGUUGAGUAGAUGGUAGUGUUGAAAACCAGGCUUCAUCUUUAAAAAGCAACAUGUUCUGACAAGCUGUUAUUUUGUAAUAAUA